GAUCCUGGCUCAGGAUGAACGCUAGCUACAGGCUUAACACAUGCAAGUCGAGGGGCAGCAUGGUCUUAGCUUGCUAAGGCUGAUGGCGACCGGCGCACGGGUGAGUAACACGUAUCCAACCUGCCGUCUACUCUUGGCCAGCCUUCUGAAAGGAAGAUUAAUCCAGGAUGGGAUCAUGAGUUCACAUGUCCGCAUGAUUAAAGGUAUUUUCCGGUAGACGAUGGUAG
rnacentral:rRNA from 1 species